rnacentral:rRNA from 1 species
AACGAACGCUGGCGGCAUGCCUAACACAUGCAAGUCGAACGAGACCUUCGGGUCUAGUGGCGCACGGGUGCGUAACGCGUGGGAAUCUGCCCUCUGGUACGGAAUAACUCAGGGAAACUUGAGCUAAUACCGUAUAAUGACUCCGGUCCAAAGAUUUAUCGCCUGAGGAUGAGCCCGCGUCGGAUUAGCUAGUUGGUGAGGUAAAGGCUCACCAAGGCGACGAUCCGUAGCUGGUCUGAGAGGAUGAUCAGCCACACUGGGACUGAGACACGGCCCAGACUCCUACGGGAGGCAGCAGUGGGGAAUACUGGACAAUGGGCGAAAGCCUGAUCCAGCAAUGCCGCGUGAGUGAUGAAGGCCUUAGGGUUGUAAAGCUCUUUUACCCGGGAUGAUAAUGACAGUACCGGGAGAAUAAGCCCCGGCUAACUCCGUGCCAGCCGCCGCCGUAACAC